rnacentral:rRNA from 1 species
UACGGAGGGGGUUAGCGUUGUUCGGAAUGACUGGGCGUAAAGCGCGCGUAGGCGGAUCGGUAAGUUGGGGGUGAAAUCCCGGGGCUCAACCCCGGAAUGGCCUUCAAGACUCCCGGUCUUGAGUUCGAGAGAGGUGAGUGGAAUUCCGAGUGUAGAGGUGAAAUUCGUAGAUAUUCGGAGGAACACCAGUGGCGAAGGCGGCUCACUGGCUCGACACUGACGCUGAGGUGCGAAAGCGUGGGGAGCAAACAGGAUUAGAA